rnacentral:rRNA from 1 species
UACGAAGGGGGCUAGCGUUGUUCGGAAUUACUGGGCGUAAAGCGUACGUAGGCGGAUUGUUAAGUGAGGGGUGAAAUCCCGAGGCUCAACCUCGGAACUGCCUUUCAUACUGGCAAUCUUGAGUCCGGGAGAGGUGAGUGGAACUCCUAGUGUAGAGGUGAAAUUCGUAGAUAUUAGGAAGAACACCAGUGGCGAAGGCGGCUCACUGGUCCGGUACUGACGCUGAGGUGCGAAAGCGUGGGGAGCAAACAGG